AUCCGGCUGACGAGUCCCGAAUAGGACGAAACACGCGUCCUGAAU
rnacentral:hammerhead_ribozyme from 1 species